rnacentral:rRNA from 1 species
GACAGAGGGUGCAAACGUUGUUCGGAAUUACUGGGCGUAAAGGGCGCGUAGGCGGCCUUCUAAGUCGGACGUGAAAUCCCUCGGCUUAACCGAGGAACUGCGUCCGAUACUGAAAGGCUUGAAUCCGGGAGAGGGAUGUGGAAUUCCAGGUGUAGCGGUGAAAUGCGUAGAUAUCUGGAGGAACACCGGUGGCGAAGGCGGCUUUCUGGACGAUUACUGACGCUGAGACGCGAAAGCGUGGGGAGCAAACAGG